GACGAACGCUGGCGGCGUGCUUAACACAUGCAAGUCGAACGAAGUGGCGAACGGGUGAGUAACGCGUAAUCAACCUGCCCAUCAGAGGGGGAAAACAGUUGGAAACGACUGAUAAUACCGCAUACUGGAGGAGGGGAGUGCGUCUGAUUAGCUAGUUGGCGGGGUAACGGCCCACCAAGGCGAUGAUCAGUAGCCGGUCUUAGAGGAUGAACGGCCACAUUGGGACUGAGACACGGCCCAGACUCCUACGGGAGGCAGCAGUGGGGAAUCUUCCGCAAUGGACGACAGUCUGACGGCGCAACGCCGCGUGAGUGAUGACGGCCUUCGGGUUGUAAAGCUCUGUUAAUCGGGACGCGGUACCGGAAUAGAAAGCCACGGCUAACUACGUGCCAGCAGCCGCGGUAAUUC
rnacentral:rRNA from 1 species